CCUACGGGGGGCUGCAGUGGGGAAUAUUGGACAAUGGGGGAACCCUGAUCCAGCCAUGCCGCGUGUGUGAAGAAGGCCCUCGGGUUGUAAAGCACUUUCAGUGAGGAAGAACGCCUGGUGGUUAAUACCCAUCAGGAAAGACAUCACUCACAGAAGAAGCACCGGCUAACUCCGUGCCAGCAGCCGCCGUAAUACGGAGGGUGCGAGCGUUAAUCGGAAUUACUGGGCGUAAAGCGCGCGUAGGUGGCUUGAUAAGCCGGUUGUGAAAGCCCCGGGCUCAACCUGGGAACGGCAUCCGGAACUGUCAAGCUAGAGUGCAGGAGAGGAAGGUAGAAUUCCCGGUGUAGCGGUGAAAUGCGUAGAGAUCGGGAGGAAUACCAGUGGCGAAGGCGGCCUUCUGGACUGACACUGACACUGAGGUGCGAAAGCGUGGGUAGCAAACAGGAUUAGAUACCCGGGUAGUC
rnacentral:rRNA from 1 species